CAUCAAAUAGGUGAUGGAGUUCACCUUUAACCGCUUUAAUGGCUGAUGACUCCUACAAAUUA
rnacentral:ncRNA from 2 species